rnacentral:misc_RNA from 1 species
UGCUGCCUUCCUCACUUCAAAAUCUUUCAAUCUGCAGUCAGCAGAAAUGAAGGGAUGGCACAAAUGACAUACUCGAAAACAAUCAAUAUCAGGUGGCUUAUAAUUACUAGUAAGUUCCUCUGCACUUGUAAUCAGCUCGUCAAUCAUAUUAGCUUCAAAGACACGUCUCAAUACAAGAAUCUCAGUACCACAACCCCCCCUUGCUUUGGGAGGGCAAGGAAUCCUUCCAUCAGCCUCUGCCCUCCAAUCAGAAAAAUCAAACAAAGAAUCAGCUACACACUGGUUUUCUAGAUGGGACAAUUGGGUCUCCCAACCAAAUCUUUUCUUAUUUGGAGUUAUCUGAUCAUCCAUAUAUGUAUCUUGACCAUGUACUCUUUCAGCAAAUUGAUGAUGUGAAGAAUCAGCUUCAUUACCUCCAGGCUGAAAUCCUUUUCUAAUUUCCCGACAACAAGUGAGACAGAGAUCAUAAGAACAAUCAGGAUUGGGGCAGCUUCUGUGGAAAUUGACAAUCGAUGUAUUGCAGUUGUCGCAAUAUAGUCGAUCAUCAUCAUCGAGUAAGGAUUUUAUUACAUCCUCUUCUGUCAAUUGAACACCAUGAAUUCUUGCCUCCACAUCCAAUUCAGAGCUCUGCUCCUGUUGAAUGUGUUUCAGGAGAGGCAAAGUCUUGUCUAGUAAGUAAAGAAGCUUUUGCAAUUUGGUAUUUGCAUCUGCUUUGCUAGUCCCAGACAGCACAACUACUUCUUUGAGGCAUAAUCUGCAAUUACAAUUACCGCGACAAAAUGGACAUGCAAUCUCUAUCUGCUCCCGUGUUUUCUCUGGGUACCACUUUGCAAGGCAGUCAUAGCAAUAGCGUUUUCUUCUGCAGUUGGAACAAAUAACAACACCAUUAUUUUGGCUUCUCCAACACUGGUGGCACAUCAAACUCCUCUGUACCUUUUUCCUCUCAGUAAUGUCAAAUGAUUCUGAAUUUUCUGGUUUGCUGUACUUCCUUGGCCUUCCUCGACGCCUUUUGCAAGUGUUGCCAGAGUUACCUGUUAAUUCAUCUGCGUUCAUUUCAAUUUGAAGCAGUAGUUGGCUCUGUUCAUUAGAAGCAGCAAUUGGUUUCUUUAUCUUUGAACCUUUUGGUCGACCUCGCUUACCCUUUGGCUUUUGUCUUUCUCCAUCACCACCAGCAGCUUCAAUAGCCAUUUUCCCUAUUUCCUUAUCCACAACAGUACUCCUAUCAUUCUGAAAACCUGUCUGACAAAAAUUGGCCUUGCCAUUGUUGCAGACCCCAAUUUCAAUGUUCACUGCCUCAUUUUCACCAGCUGGAAGACGUUUCUGCUUAUUCUUUGAACCCUUUGGCCGGCCUCUCUUAUUUUUUUUAUGUCUAAUCUUAUCUCCACCUAAACAUCCAUCAAUUUCUCCACCAUACAGAAUUUUCUCCUUAUUCUUUGAACCCUUUGGUCGGCCACGCCUAUUCUUCGUCUUUAUAAUUCUGCUUUCCUGUUCAAUACCACCAGUGACCUCAUUAGACACCAAAUUCUCACCACUAUCAUUUCUAUCUACAUUUUCAUUAGGCAAUUCCCAACUAUAAGGUACAAGACUUUUAAUUAUAUGUGCCGAACUCUUUGGUCUGCCCCGUCUACCCUUAGGCCUAUCAACUUGACUUCCCUCCCCCUUACAACCAGUGGUCUCAGCAGGCAUUAACCUAUCUCCUUCAUCAGAGAAAAAGGAGCUCACAUUCUCUAAACUCAAAAGCGUAACUGAAUUAUCAUCAACACGGUUGCUAUGCAUACUAUCACAAAGCAAUUCCUUAUUAUCUCCUCCAAGAUCAUUUUGCUUGUUCUUCAAGCAUUUCGGUCGGCCACGUCCACCCUUGGGCUUUAUGCUUUCAUUCAACUCUCUGUUACCACUAAUGGCCUCAACAGAUAAUGCUCUUACUUCAACAUUGAAAAGAGCAGUCAUCCCAUUCAAAACACCCACCAGUCUAUCUUUGUUACCAUCAUUGUCAUUGGCUCCCAAAAUAUCACCAGGCAAUUCUUGACUAUUAUCUGCAAAAUUUGGAUGUUUGAUCUUGAAAUCUGUUGGCUUAAAAAUCUCACAUACUGAUCCAAGACCUCCAAUAGACUCUGUUCUAUCUUCUCCACCAGAAGUAGAAAUCCUCGCACUCGGCAAAACUAUAGGUCCAAUUAUCUUUUCAUCAGCAGCCAUUUCUGGAUUACCACCAGGAGGAUUUUUCUUCUUCUUAUUAUUCUUUGAACCCUUUGGUCUGCCACGCCUAGGCUUUGAUGCGACUAUCUCCUUUCCACCCUGUCCAGCAGCACCUUCACCAGCCAUUUCUUUGUCCUUCAUGUCUUCAAGAGCGGUCCUUUUAUUCUUCAACCCUGAAGGGGUAACUGUUUCAACAUCAGUAUCAUUAUUACCCCAGAUUUCAACUGGUAAUCGCGGAUUUUUAGCACUUACAGCAUCUUCUGUUUUAUUCUUUAAACUAUAAGGCCAGUUCUGAAUAUCCUUUUGCUGCACAAUCUCAUCUCUGCCCGACCCUUCAAUACAUUCCCCAGCACCUAAGAUUUUGUUCUUUUUAUCAAGACCCUUAGGCCAAUUAUGCUCAUCCUUUGCGCAGGUAUUUUCAUUUCCUCCCACACUACCACCAGUAGCCUCAUCAGGCAUUUUCAUUUUUCCCUCAGCCGUAUCAGCCAACUUCUCAUUCUCUGAACCUCUUAGAAAAACAGUCCCAACACCGCCAGCACCAUCACUACCAACCACAGUUUUGUUACAUAUGAUCUGUUUUUCCUCACCUUGAUUUUUCUUCCUAUUUUUUGAACCCUUUGGUCGCCCUCGCUUACGUUUCAAGGGAUCGAUAUCAUCUCCAGUAACACCAACUUCACUUGAACCUUGCUUUACCGCUUCAACACCAUCAAUUCUCUUCUUAUUCUUUGAUCCCUUUGGCCUACCCAGUUUAACCUUCGUCAGUUUUUCCUCAUCUGUAACACCACUUGGUUCAUUUCUGUCUACCUUCUCACAAUACCUGUGUUCAAUUCCUUCACCACCAUUGGCAAACGCAAUCUCACCAAACAGCCCCUGAAUUCCUUUACCGUCAAUACUUGCACAUCCAGCUUCACCACACCAGCAUGGAACCCCUUCACCAUCAAAACUCAAAUCCUUAUUUUCACUAGCGACACCACCAAAUAGACCUGAAAUCACUCCACUUCUGGAACCCGUAACCCCAUUUUCGCACUCACCAAAAAGUUCCUUGAUGACCUCACCACCAAGGUUUAUAUCAACAUUUCUACCGCUGACUCCACCUAGUAGGCCAUGGAUUUCAUCGCCACUAGGAGCCAUACCCCCAGUUUUACCAUCGAAGCCAUGAAUUUCUUGACCAGAAGAACCUAAACCCGAAUUAACAGCACUGACUUCACCAAAUAGGGCUCGAGUCCCUUCACCACCAAGAACCAUAACACUAUUUUCACCAGAAUCCCUACCAGACUUGCCCAACUGAAUUUCUGCACCACUAUCUUUACCAUCCCAAAGUCUAAAAGCUUUACCAUCAAGACCCAGGACUCCAUUUGUACCAAAUUCUCCGCCAUAACCACCAAGAACCUGGCCACCAUUCCCACAUGCAGCUUCACCAGGCCAAAGCUGCAAAUUUUCUCUACCAUUAGCCUCACCAACUUCAUCUAACCACUUGAAAACAUCCGAAUUCCCUUCACCAAACCAGCCUUGAACCCCUUCAAUAUCAAGACCCACAUCAGCAACCUUUCCAAGCACCAUUGCUUCAGAAUUUUCUUCACCCUCGAGUCUCUUUCUCUUCCUCAUCUGGGGACCCAAGUCAGCCCCAGCUCCAUUUUCACUCUUCCUCUCCAUGAUUUUCUUCCUCCUCCCUAGCACCACAAAAUGAUAGAACUUCUCACAGACACAGAAAAAAAUCUUUGCCACUCACCCUCAGAGCUCUCUCCUUCGAACACCUUCCAGUGGUACUUUAUAAUUUUUUUACUCCAUUCUUCACACCAUGAAAAAGAAGAAAGACUAAGGAGAUGAAAAUCAAUAAUAGAAUAUUCCUUUGUUUUGAAAUUGAAAUUGAAAU